rnacentral:lncRNA from 1 species
AAUGUCUCAAUGUUCCACUUUCCCGGGAAUGGAGCGGCUGCUGCCUUUCAGGGGAGCUAUAAAUACUCCUAGCCAGUUUGAUUAAAUAAUGCCACAGAAUGAGGGUGAGGAGGGCCAGGUGUUCUGGGAAACCUGUACAGCUGCCAAUAAUUGGACUAAAAAAUGCAGAGGCUCCAGCUUGGCUGGCAGGAUGAAUACAGCGUAGGGAGAGAAAAGGGCUUCCCAGGCCCAGCUCCCCAAAAGCCAGUGGAUACGGGGGAAAGGGCUGUGUUGAUGCUCCCAGGAGGAACUUCCAAUGAAGCCAAGGACUCUGGGGCUUGAGUGGACUCUCUGCCCAGGUGAGCAGUGCCAGGCUCAGAAGAGGACCCUGAUGGAGUGCACAGAGCCUGGCGGGGAGAUGCUCAGAGCAGGUGCAUUCAUAGCUGCUGUCGGGAUGCCCUGCUCUGAGCAGGGAAAGGGCAGUGGGUACAUGAGCUCCACACUUUCCCCACAGGGCUGGUGUGUUCUCAUGGGCCUCAGCCAGCAGGUGCCCUUAGCCCUCCAAGUGGCUCAUCCAGAACCAUGUCUCUGGGCAUUUUAAGGCAUGGGGGAGGAGUGUUUUCUUGGCAAAGAUAAGCAGAAUGCAAGAAAUAAAUAGCUUCUCAUGUGCAUAUAAUUAUACUGAGGCUCAGUGAUUACUCGGGAUCCUGACUUGGAAUAAAGUCAACAAUUCAGCAGUCUCCUAAAGACUUUGUCCAGCCCCACCUCCCUCAUGUUUUAGAGCCUGUGAUCCUAUUACCAUCAGGACAUCAAAUGUUUCACCUUUUUCUCCUUCAUGAUGUGGAGGAGACUUGCUUUGGAAAGCUGGUCUUCCAAUCUGAGAUGGCCUCAGCCCAGGAGAUGUGCUGGGAGCAUAAGGGGAGUUGUGUCCCCCACUUCAUGCCAGAUCCGCUUCUACUGCUCCCUCGAAGGGUAAAUCCAGGAAUGGUCUUCCCUGCGGGCAGAGGCGGGGCACAAAGUAACCCAAUUCCUUAGCCCAAAAAGGAGUCCAGGAAUCUGAGAGGAGAUUCAGCAGGGUAGAAAAGGUCAGCCACGGAGGUGGAGAGCUCAAAAGGGCUCAGCACAGGCAAUUCACUCAAUUUCAGGGGUUGUCCAUCUGUCCAACUAACCAGCUUCAAUUCUACUUCUGACACCAAAUUAUGUCAAAACCUAAAU